rnacentral:rRNA from 1 species
GACGAACGCUGGCGGCGUGCUUAACACAUGCAAGUCGAACGGAAAGGCCCUGCUUUUGUGGGGUGCUCGAGUGGCGAACGGGUGAGUAACACGUGAGUAACCUGCCCUUGACUUUGGGAUAACUUCAGGAAACUGGGGCUAAUACCGGAUAGGGGCUCCUGCUGCAUGGUGGGGGUUGGAAAGUUUCGGCGGUUGGGGAUGGACUCGCGGCUUAUCAGCUUGUUGGUGGGGUAGUGGCUUACCAAGGCUUUGACGGGUAGCCGGCCUGAGAGGGUGACCGGCCACAUUGGGACUGAGAUACGGCCCAGACUCCUACGGGAGGCAGCAGUGGGGAAUAUUGCACAAUGGGCGGAAGCCUGAUGCAGCAACGCCGCGUGCGGGAUGGCGGCCUUCGGGUUGUAAACCGCUUUCGCCUGUGACGAAGCGUGAGUGACGGUAAUGGGUAAAGAAGCACCGGCUAACUACGUG